GAUGAACGCUGGCGGCGUGCCUAAUACAUGCAAGUCGAGCGAACGGACGAGAAGCUUGCUUCUCUGAUGUUAGCGGCGGACGGGUGAGUAACACGUGGCUAACCUACAUAUAAGACUGGGAUAACUUCGGGAAACCGGAGCUAAUACCGGAUAAUAUUUUGAACCGCAUGGUUCAAAAGUGAAAGACGGUCUUGCUGUCACUUAUAGAUGGAUCCGCGCUGCAUUAGCUAGUUGGUAAGGUAACGGCUUACCAAGGCAACGAUGCAUAGCCGACCUGAGAGGGUGAUCGGCCACACUGGAACUGAGACACGGUCCAGACUCCUACGGGAGGCAGCAGUAGGGAAUCUUCCGCAAUGGGCGAAAGCCUGACGGAGCAACGCCGCGUGAGUGAUGAAGGUCUUCGGAUCGUAAAACUCUGUUAUUAGGGAAGAACAUAUGUGUAAGUAACUGUGCACAUCUUGACGGUACCUAAUCAGAAAGCCACGGCUAACUACGUG
rnacentral:rRNA from 1 species